rnacentral:rRNA from 1 species
GAGACGGCUACCACAUCUAAGGAAGGCAGCAGGCGCGCAAAUUACCCAAUCCAAAUGACACAGGGAGGUAGUGACAAGAAAUAACAAUACAGGGCAAUUGUCUUGUAAUUGGAAUGAUGGUGACGUAACCCCAAUCUCACCAGAGUAACAAUUGGAGGGCAAGUCUGGUGCCAGCAGCCGCGGUAAUUCCAGCUCCAAUAGCGUAUUUUUAUUAAACUUGUUGCAGUUAAAAAGCUCGUAGUUGAAUUUCUGCGUUGCCCGACUCGGCUACUUGCCUUGUCUGGGGGUUUCGCUUUUGGGGUUUUCCCCUUUUUACUUUGAGAAAAUUAGAGUGUUUCAAGCAGACUUGUGUCUUGAAUAACCCUACUUCGGCAUGGAAUAAUAAAGUAGGACUUUGGUUCUAUUUUGUUGGUUUGUGAACCUUAGUAAUGGUUAAUAGGCCGGAACGGUUGGGCCCUUAG